AUCCCCAGGCACUAUCUAGGGUGUUCCCUGCUCCAUGCAUCGUAAAUAGCCGCAGUAUUUUGACUGUGCUAAGGUAGCAUAAUCAUUUGGCUAUUAAUUGUAGUCUAGUAUGAAAGGGAGAACGUAGAGCCCCUGUUUCUUUAGUUCUUUGUUUAACUUAGUCAGUUGGUGAAAAUACCAAUGUCUGUAAAAAAAGACGAGAAGACCCUAGGAAUUAAAAAUUUUGUUGGGGCAACAGACUACAUCCGUAGUUUAUAUUUAUAAUGGCGACACAGUAAGAAAUAUAAAAUUACCCUAGGGAUAACAGCACUAUUAAGUUUUUAGCUUGUGACCUCGAUGUUGGACUAGGAUGCUCCCCGGCAAGCAGCCGGGGUUUCUCACUCUGUUCGAGUGGAGCCUUCCU
rnacentral:rRNA from 1 species